AACGAACGCUGGCGGCAUGCCUAACACAUGCAAGUCGAACGAGUGCCUUCGGGUGCUAGUGGCGCACGGGUGCGUAACGCGUGGGAAUCUGCCCUUAGGUUCGGAAUAACAGCUGGAAACGGCUGCUAAUACCGGAUGAUCUCGCGAGAUCAAAGAUUUAUCGCCUGAGGAUGAGCCCGCGUUGGAUUAGGUAGUUGGUGGGGUAAAGGCCUACCAAGCCGACGAUCCAUAGCUGGCCUGAGAGGAUGAUCAGCCACACUGGGACGGAGUCACGGCCCAGACUCCUCCGGGAGGCAGCAGUGGGGAAUAUUGGACAGUGGGCGCAAGCCUGAUCCAGCAAUGCCGCGUGAGUGAUGAAGGCCCUAGGGUUGUAAAGCUCUUUUACCCGGGAAGAUAAUGACUGUACCGGGAGAAUAAGCCCCGGCUAACUCCGUGCCAGCAGCCGCCGUAA
rnacentral:rRNA from 1 species